rnacentral:lncRNA from 1 species
AAAAGCACUCCUCCACACCUAUAUGUUAUUGAUUCCCUUCAUUUAAUUUGCAAUUUUAGAUGGAACAUGGAUUAAUUAGUAAAACUAAUUUAAGCACAAUCAAUCAUACAAAUGUGUCCACUGAAUACCAGUCGCUGAUACAUUAACUGGUAAAAGCAUUGUAGUAAGGAAAUAGCAUAAUGAUACUCACUUGCUUAAAAGGUUCAUGUGCACCAAAUUGGUUUGGAGCUCAUUUGCCUGAUUAAAGAAAAAAUAAAAUAAAAUAAGAACUUCAAAAAUAAUUGACCCAACCGCCAAAAAAGGUAAAUUUGGUCAAACAUAUAACCAAUAAAAUCAUCUAGGCCCUCCAAAAUUUGGAAUAAAACCCACCGUCCUUGGACACAGAUAGAAUAUAUAUAUUGUAGCAACAAAUUCAAAACAAAACUCUACAAAUAAUUAUGUACUUUACCUUUUUACAACACCACAGUUACGAAACUCAUAUUACAAAAUGUAUUAGAAAACAAUUCAGUUAACAACAUAGAGUACUGGAGCUUCUCAUGUUACCAUUCUCUUAUGAUUUCGUCUGAGUUCAUCAACCACGUCCAGUCCACAUCCUUUAUAAUGUCAUAUUUUUCAACAUAUGUAAACAUCACCUCAUUCCACCCAAAGUCCCACAUACAGUUAACAUUUGGAUCUGUAAUUUUGAUGGCUAGAUUUGUCCCAAACUUUUGAGGGUCCAGAUCUUUUAUUAGGCAAGCGAGAAACUUAGAUUGGGACAAAAGUUUGGGACAAAUCUAGCCAUCCAUUAGAUAAGUUAGCUUCACUAAUAGUCUUACUUUCCAAAACCGUAGCAUACUAAGCGAUGAAGAAAAAGAGAGCCCGCUAGAAAGAAGGGAGAAACCAAGGUCUGGCGGGAAGGGAGAAACGAAGGCCGGGCAGUCACGAAGGCAUCGAAUCCUUUUCCUCUUCAUCGUUAACCCUAUAUCAUGCCUGGCGGUCACAAAGGCAUCGGAUCUGCUCCACCUCCAAGUGGCGGAGUUUACGAAGGUGGAGGCGGAGGUAGUUACGGUGGCGGAUAUGGCGGAAGUGGAGGCGACGGAUAUUAUGCCAACGGUAGAUACGGUGGAAGUGGUAGUGGUAAAAGGGGUUAUGGUGGCAAUUGGGGAGGGGGUUAUGGCGGCAGCAGUGAGGAUGAUGGUCGUGAUGGUGGAGGCAGAGGAGUUAACUAAUACUCUGCUCCUUUUCAUCUGUUUGUGAAAAUGCCCAAAUUAACUUGGGUUCCAUUUUGUGUCUUUUUGCAGAAGAUUAAUCAACUAUUGCGUUAAAUUGCACAGAUGAAUGAAAUAUUGUUGGCUGUUCACAACCUUAAGGCUGCCCCAAGCACAUGAAAAGCUCUUCUCUUCUCUCCAAGCUUGUGGUAUGGCUCAGGACUCUGCUGCCGCAUCAUUCCCUCUGUUAUUAAUUGCUUGAGUUGUCGUGUGAGAAUUGUAUGCAUAUUAUUGAUUUCUACGAAUUAAUUAAGAAAUGAAAGUGAAGGGUAGAUGUGAUGUGAUGUGCUGACUUGGUUGAAUCCACCUGAUUGCAUGAUCUACAGAACCAAAGUAGCAUAAAAAAUUGGUAUUUUAAGUUUCCCAACGAAUAUAAUUGGUUUAAAAAACAUAACAAGUGAUUAACUUUCAUAGCGCAUACCAAAUUUUGCCAAGGCUAUAACAAAUGCGUAUUUGUAUAUUUGAUGUCAUUUGUGUUCCUUACAAUGAUAAAUAAGUUUGAAGCCCAAGUCCUUUCCGAUGCAGCCUGUGAAUCUUUCCGAGCUUAAGAAUAUAAUAUUUCCAUAUUCUAUAAUUAACACAGACUAAUUUUUUUGAUAUAUGUAUUAUGUUCCAUUUGAAAAUAUAUCUCUGCAUAUUUAAAGCUGUCUCAUUUGUAUAUAUCUAUCUAUACAAAACACAAUUGGAUUUGAAAAAAUAAAUUUCCCGCUCACAGUUAUUAAAAGAUCUGGAUCGUCCAAAGUUGGGAUAAAUCUAACCCUUCCAAAAAAUAUUAACAUAACACGGAGGGGGAUGAAGCCACAAGAUCGACUGGGUUAGACUCAAAACAAGGGUUUCAGUUAGUUUACUGCUCUUCUUCCAAAACAAGGGUUUUCGAUUUUUUGAUCCCUUUCCUCUUCUUCCAAAACAAGGGGGACGAAGACAUGUGGCUACUGAUUUGCUCAAGUUAGUUUACUUCUCUGGUAAAUGUGUAUUGUGAAAGUCUAUUAUCUAAUAUUAAUUGUUAUUCCUUCUUUCACUUUUAGUUAGUUUACUGCUCUGAUUUCUCCUUUUUUUUGUUUCAUAUGUUUCCCCAUUUUGGUUGUCGAAUAUAGAUUACCAAUUGGCUUUCUCUCUCUCUCUGUAUUUACGUGUGUUUGUGUGUAUAUAUGUAUAUAAUUUUAUUGUACGAAUUAAAUUAUGAAAUUGGUAGUUUCUCAAAAAAUCAUUGGUGCCCCCUUUUUUGAUUUCUUUUUUCUGUUUGAUAUGUUUCUCUAAUUUGGUUGAUUGACUGUAGAUUUCUUGAACAUUUCUAGGAAAUCAAAAUGGUUAUCAAGCUAAGACUACAUCAAACUGGUUAUCAAGCUAAGACUACAUCUUUUGUAAGGUAAGCCAUGUAUUUGGUUAAUUUUAUGGAAAUUAAAAGUUUAUAUAAUGUUUGUUAUUCUGAAAUUGAUGUGAUUGGUCAGAAAACUAUGUGUUGUGAAGGACUUCUAUAAAUUUUUUUGUCUAGAACCAUGCCUAAACCUCUAUGAAUUCUGAAAUUAUAGGCUAUGCCCUUAGGGUGUUUGAAAAUUUGUCCCAAAG